rnacentral:rRNA from 1 species
UACGGAGGGUGCGAGCGUUAAUCGGAAUUACUGGGCGUAAAGCGUGCGUAGGCGGUUCGUUAAGUCAGAUGUGAAAGCCCUGGGCUCAACCUGGGAACGGCAUUUGAAACUGGCGGACUAGAGUUUAGUAGAGGGGAGUGGAAUUUCAGGUGUAGCGGUGAAAUGCGUAGAUAUCUGAAGGAACACCAGUGGCGAAGGCGACUCCCUGGACUAGAACUGACGCUGAGGUACGAAAGCGUGGGUAGCAAACAGG